CACGGUGACAGCGCAAGUUAUCCUGCCCCUGCGGGCGCUGCUUUUCGUCCUCCUGGGGAGCUCGGUGUCCUGCACGGCCGGGACGGGCACACCGCUCCGGGGGUGCCACCUGCGUCCCGUUAUCCGCGGCUCCCCUGGCAGUGGAUGGAGGAUACAGAAGAGAAUCCAUCCGAACGUGCGUGGUGGAGGACCUAAAUAUGGGCUUAAAUAUGAGAAGACACAGCUGCUCACAAAGCCGGCUCCUUUCCCAGUGUCACAGACAAACUUUCCUUGACCUGGAACCAUGUGGAAAAUAAACAGAGAGCCUUCAAGAGCUCCUGAGAACCUUUCCCCUGUGCUUUUUAAUGGCCUGAGUGGGGCAGACACCUGCGCAAAGGAGAUUACACCGAUAAUAUUUAUGUUGGCUUCUAGAAAAGUGAUUAUUCUUUGUGCCUACAAGGCAAAAUUUGCAAAUUUGCAUAUUAAGGGCACAGACUGGCAAUGUUAUGGCUAGAACUUCCCUAGAGAUGUUGCUUCACUUCAGACUUAGAGCUGAGUGGAAAUUUCUCACUUCCUCUUCCAGAAUGAGAAGAUGGAUGGCACUUGGUGUUAUUUCUGGUUUUAUCAUGUAUAUAUAUGUACGCGUAUUUAUAGUCAUGCGUAGAGAGGGAGAUUGUACUAAAAAUGAAAACUCAGAGUAGAACGAAGGAAUUUUUCCGCACAUUGUAUCACACGCAAGCCAGUCUCACAUCUUCAGACACCGGCGUUAUUUAAAGCUGGUUUCUGCACGGGUCUCAUGCCCCUUACAGAAGUAAGAUAAACCAUGUAUGAGCGGGUUUAUAGCAAUUAGCUCAAUCCAUAUGAAGGAGAAUUAGCUGCAGCAGCUUCUAACCUAAUGUAGACCCGCUAAAGUCAUGUGUGGACCCGUUUUAAGCAUUCAGGAUGCUCCUGUGCCCCCGAACUGCCUCUCUUUUUAGUGUAUAUCCUAAAUCCAUCACAUCAUGUCCGAGAGGAUGGAUCUGAGCUCCUGCUUGACCCAAGGAUGGAAACGCAUUGCUCUCUUGAUUUGGG
rnacentral:lncRNA from 1 species